rnacentral:misc_RNA from 1 species
ACGUUGCAGUAGAAGUCAGACGUUUGGGCGUGGUGACGAUAGCGUUACUGGCAAGACGUGCAGGCAGGUGUGCACCAGUACAACUCAGUUGUCUCCCGUACUCUCCCCUCUUGCAUGCGUGAGGUAUUGGCAUCCCUUUGCUUGGACUCGUGUGCACCUAGCGCUUUUUCUCCAGGCUGACCGUUGUGCCUAGUCUGCUCUUAACGUUGAGGUGGUUAAAGUGCCAUGGGCAGCCCUCACAGCUCCGUACGCGCAUCCCGCCGCCCAAACGCUGCAGUCGCGUAUGCGUCAGCGUUUUAUUCCCCGGCAGGCUGCGGGCGCGCUCCCCAGACGAAGAGAUAGGCACCAACGUGCCGGUAGCGACUCUCCCCCGUUGCGCAGCUCUCCCCUACCUGCUGUUGCACAGAUGGUGCAGCGCAGACAGACAGCAAGUCCGGUGCGGUCGUGAUGCGUUGUCGCGAUGAUGCAUGCACAAGUGCACACAGGCAAGGGGCUGCGGCGUCUUUGCGUGCCGCGACCGCGUGCGGGGCGUGGAGCAGUGGUGCUGGCGCCGGACCUGCUGCGAGGGUAGCGUGACCAGCCACGGCGCAGAGAAGCGCGUGUGGUCGCCCUUGUUGCGGGGUCGCUCUCCCGCCCUCAUGGCACCCGCCACGGGCGCCGCCACCGUGGAGGACGGCUUGGUGCGACGGACCUGGGCACGUGUGCCGGCGCCGCUGUAGCCGGUCGCGUGCGUCUGUUUUUGCCAUGGAGAACGUGCGACCUGGUGCGCCACGCGCGAUCCGCGGAUCGUCCGACGCUCGAGGCAGACCGCGUUUCACGCAAUGGUGUUGCGCGCAGGGAUGCCAUUGCACGCACCUCACUCGCGCUGCACGGGCCUCCGCCGUCGUGUGUAUAUCGCUGCUCCCCACAUCCUCCGUCCCCUGACCUGGGAACGGCGGGCUGUGAGCGCUCUGUGUGCGCGGGCGCAUGCGUAUCGGCGGGGCUCUUGGGGUGGCCCCUUCCGCUUGACGCAGCCACGCCUGUGAAAGAGGUGCGGGUCGAGGACCAGGUGGGGUGCCCUUUGCUGCCCCCGACUCACAGCAGCGUGCCACCCUGCCGCGGCACAUGCGGGCAUGCGGUCCAGGCACGCGCCCACCCCCCGCUGCAUCGGCGGAAAGGGACGAUGUGGACAGCGCGCUCCCACGGGCAACGAUGCCGCGCUGAAGCAGGCCCCUCCCCCUUCCAAGGUAUGCACAAGUGCGAGCGCUGUGCGCAGGCGCUGUCGGUGGGCAGCUGGCACGGUGUGCCGCACUCCGAGCAAGGUGUGCGGGAGGUGGGCAGGGCUCAGCCCCCGGCUGCGUGUGAGCGGAAUAUGCGGCAUCUUCUGCGUCCGACCGGGGUGGGCUGAUGCUGCACAGGUGCCGGAAGCGUGGGGGAGGACAGCACCGGUCUGCACCAUCGAGUCCUCCAGACUCCCGUGUGGAGAGACGCCGCGCCGCGCUGCGGCAUGCCGCGGCCUGAAGCGGGUGAGGGCGAAGCAUGGCAUGCAGGGAGAGUGCGCAGGGUCUCGGAGGGCCCUGGGCUGAGUCUGGGCAGCGUCCUCCUUGAGCCCACCCGGCACGCACAUAGAAGAACAUCCCCUGCUGCCCGCACGGCAGACGCCGCCGCUUCCUGCCCUCGAGCCGGAGCGUGGGCGCGGCCCGCGUGGAUGACGCCGUGUCGUCCACACCCGGGCCCGCGUGGCGCCGAUGACACGGCACGCAUGCGAGGAAGGGGCGAGGAAGGAGAGGGAGAGGUCAUUAGGCACGCGCCCCGAUGCAACGGCAGGGCGGCUCGCCCUUGACGACGAGGGCGUAGCCGUGGCGCGGCAGGGGUAGGCGAAGUACGGGUGCAUGCGUACAUGUUUCGCGGGGGUUUCCGUGGUUGAUUGAGGUGUUGACAGGAAGGGGAUACUUGGUGACCGGGGGACGUGAAGGAGGUGGCGGUGAUGCCUCUCUCAAGGCGGACGAAAGGGGCGUCGAGGUCGCGCUGGGUGGGGGGAGGGAAGGUGGGUGGGUUGGGGGAAUGCGGCGCUGAGGCUGCGUUGCACAACUGACAGCGAAGGGGAGCAAGGAUGAUGUGCGGCAGCAGAGCUGUGGUUGAAAUCGUGAAAGCAGGGAGAUAUGCAUGUGAAGGAAAAGAAACAGAUUCACAAAGAAAAUUGUAAGGGAGUGGGCUCUAAGGGCGGGAUCGGUACCCAACGUGCGUGAGGUUGAGGUGCCGGAAUUUGGGGAGACGAUCGCUUCUCUCCUUGCUUCCCGUACUUGAGCGUGCCCUGUCGAAUUCUGCGUUCGACUGUGCACGCUUGACUGCUCUUUCGAUGUCUAGUCUUUCACGGAUGGACAACGCCCUGUUCCCACAUUGUCGCGGCACGCGAAUGCAUGCUUCCUGAGAGUUGAG